rnacentral:rRNA from 1 species
GGGAACAUACCCUUUUCUACGGAAUAGCUCUGGGAAACUGGAAUUAAUACCGUAUACGCCCUACGGGGGAAAGAUUUAUCGGGGAAGGAUUGGCCCGCGUUGGAUUAGCUAGUUGGUGGGGUAAAGGCCUACCAAGGCGACGAUCCAUAGCUGGUCUGAGAGGAUGAUCAGCCACAUUGGGACUGAGACACGGCCCAAACUCCUACGGGAGGCAGCAGUGGGGAAUAUUGGACAAUGGGCGCAAGCCUGAUCCAGCCAUGCCGCGUGAGUGAUGAAGGCCUUAGGGUUGUAAAGCUCUUUCACCGAUGAAGAUAAUGACGGUAGUCGGAGAAGAAGCCCCGGCUAACUUCGUGCCAGCAGCCGCGGUAAUACGAAGGGGGCUAGCGUUGUUCGGAAUUACUGGGCGUAAAGCGCACGUAGGCGGAUAGUUAAGUCAGGGGUGAAAUCCCAGAGCUCAACUCUGGAACUGCCUUUGAUACUGGGUAUCUUGAGUAUGGAAGGGGUAAGUGGAAUUGCGAGU